CAGGGGGUAGUUUAAAUAAAAUUUUAAUUUUGGAGAUUAAUGUUGGGAGUUUUCUCUCUUCCCUGA
rnacentral:tRNA from 1 species